rnacentral:rRNA from 1 species
AGCGAACGCUGGUGGCAGGCUUAACACAUGCAAGUCGAGCGGGCAUCCUUGUGGUGUCAGCGGCAGACGGGUGAGUAACGCGUGGGAACGUGCCCUUCGGUUCGGAAUAACUCAGGGAAACUUGAGCUAAUACCGGAUACGUGCGAGAGCAGAAAGGUUUAUCUGCCGAAGGAUCGGCCCGCGUCUGAUUAGCUAGUUGGUGAGGUUAUGGCUCACCAAGGCGACGAUCAGUAGCUGGUCUGAGAGGAUGAUCAGCCACACUGGGACUGAGACACGGCCCAGACUCCUACGGGAGGCAGCAGUGGGGAAUAUUGGACAAUGGGGGCAACCCUGAUCCAGCCAUGCCGCGUGAGUGAUGACGGCCUUAGGGUUGUAAAGCUCUUUUCUCCGGGACGAUAAUGACGGUACCGGAGGAAUAAGCCCCGGCUAACUUCGUG